UUCAAAGAAUAUGCAGCUAUAGCUGUGUCUUUUUUUUUUGUUGAAGGCAUUCGUUCAGCUCAGCCUUCCCCGACGCUAAUCUCCUCCAUAGCAGUGUGCCCAAGUAAUAGUCUCUUCUGCUUCCUUCCAGCUCUUCAAUCAUCUAGUUCCUGUAGGAUUCUGCCACUUGGCAGGACAAGCAGCAUUCUGAGAGAUCUAUGCAUGAUAUCAUCAGCAUUUGAAAAUUCCAGCUGUAAGACAUGCAAUCAGGUUUCUCCUUAUUGACACCAGCUAUUCAACUGCAUCGUACCUCCAGAUCUUCAGGUGGCUUCUCAAAGAAUUUCAAGCCCAGAUCAUAGCCUGUUCUUUGUUGACAGAGUUCAACAAGCCCUGUGAGAAGGAGACUAGAGAAACAUGGAAAAACAUUCAAGACUCUGUGAAGACUAUCUUCAAGCAUCUUGCUCCUUUGAACAGUGGAGCUGUCAUACAUAUAGACCCUGCCUGAUACUUAGAGCACAAAACCCAGCAGGGAGAGGGGUAAUGGAAUUUGGAGGCAACUGGUGUUCAAAGACCUCGCUUGAAAUGGGCCUAUGCUAAUGCUGAGGGUCUGUGCAAAUUGGGUCGACUUCCCGCAUAUUCCUAAAGGAGCAGCUUCAUCAGAAUUACCAAUCCAAGCUGUAGUUUAGAACCACCAAACAUCUGAAUGGAAGAAAAUACUGAUACGUUGG